AAACUGUAGAGUUUGAUUCUGGCUCAGAAUGAACGCUGGCGGCGUGCUUAACACAUGCAAGUCGAACGAGAAAGGUGGUGCUUGCACCGCC
rnacentral:rRNA from 1 species